GGGGUAUUUGCAUAUCUUUCGUAUUCACUUGCACUGCUUUAUCAAAAAAUAAUGUCCUUGGCAAUUUGAAUCCCAGUCUUUAAGAUAACACAUCUGUGUUUAUGAAUUACCAGGAGUCUUUUUGUUUUUUGUUUGUUGCUUUUGUUGCUGCUUGUUUUUGUAUUCUUUCUGGUAAUGGGACUAACUCCUUUUUACUUUGAAUUUGUAUUACACUGUAUCCACAGAGAAAUUUCACAAGUGUCUUUUACAUUAUUUUAACAAUCACCCCCCCACCACCUACAACUUUAAAUUAAAUAUCAUGAUCCAUUAUUUCCAGCACUUGUUGCCCACCUAACAUGUACCAGACUCCUUAUUUAAUGCUUUCACCAGGAUAUUUAAUUUCAUCUUAAAAUUAUCCUUUAAAUACAAAGACAUAGGAUCUGAGAGAGUAAGUAAUUUGCCCAAUGGCACCCAGUUAGGAAGUGGUGGGAUAGGGGUUCUAACUCAGUUCUGCCUAAUCUAAUUCCUGAUUGUUUCUCCCAAUCAGAAUGCAGUCUGAAAUGAUGCUCUUUUUUAGCGCUGUGCUAGCAGGAAGGUCUGUGAAGUUUGCAAUAAAGCCAUUAUGAAGUCAAGAAUGGAGGUUCCAUUUUUAAAGAACUCAGAGGGGGUAGAUCUUGAUUGACAUCUCAUCUGGGGUCACCUGGUCUUCAACUGAGAGAUCUUUUGGUUCGCCACGGAUGCCCCUUGCAGUUAUGGAAGUUCACUCUUUGAGAGAGAGAUAAAUAAACAUUAAAAUGUAAAGAAAAAAAAAAUCAGCAAUGGAAGGAAAAAGGAACAAAAAGCAAUCCAUUGGCGUCAAGCUUGACUGGACCACUCCACUGCUCUGCUGCCGUUAGUGAACCUGACCCUGCAGCAGGAGUCACAGACUCACCACUCACCUCAAGUCCUCACUCCCUGGACCCUCAAUCUACACAUCACUUUGUCUUUUAUUUCCCUGAGAAAUACAGGCCAUCAGUUUGCAGAUCCCUCCUUUCCCCUUACCCUGCAAAUCUCCAUCUAUUUGGAAAAGUGUGCCUCCUACAUUCCAAAGCUAACCCCUCCUCCUCUGCCACUAAUAUCAGCCCUACCUGCCUUCUUCUGUAACUUGCUCCAUUAAUUCCCUCCCCUCUCCCCCAGGUCUCCCUGCCUAUGAACAUAUUCAAGGACAUCAUAUCUUAAAAACAAACAAAUAUCAGGCACAAUGGCUCACACCUGUAAUCCCAGCACUUUGAGAGGUCAAGGCAGGAGAAUCACUUGAAUCCAGGGGUUCAAGACCAGCCUGGGAAACAUAGGGAGACCCUAUCUCUACAAAAAAUAUUUUUUAAAAAAAUUAGCCAGGUGUGGUGGUGUGCACCUGUAGUCCCAACUACUCAGAAGGCUGGGGUGGGAGAAAUAUUUCAGCCCAGGACGUCACUGUGCACAAUUGCUUUACUUUUUUUUCCCUUGGUAUAGACUUGUUGAAGAGUAAGCCUUCAUGUACUGUUUCCUCACUUUACAUUCACUCUCAACUGGAGACAAUAUAGAGUCUUCGCAGAUGCAGCUUUCUCCAGACCAACAAUGUGGUUAGACAUCUGGUUUUUCAUUGUUGUUGUUUGAUUUCUCUGACUAGCUUCCCUGACCAGAGGUCGUUUUGAGUUUCCUUCUCUGGAAUUUGACCACUGAGCAGAGACACAUAGGAGAGAAGACGUGAAUGCUGAGUCAUCAAUCAGCAUCACUGGGAAGAAAAAGCCUCUCAGUUUCUUCUGCUGGGACUCCCAGAGCUGGAGUAUUUUCUGCUCUUCCUAAGGCCUGAAUCUCACCUUGUCACCCAGGCUGGAGUGCAAUGGCAUAAUCUCAGCUCACUGCAACCUCUGUCUCCCAGGCUCAAAUGAUUCUCCUGCCUCAGCCUCCUGAGUAGCUGGGAUUACAGGCGCCCAUGGACUACCAGCUUUUUAAGUAGACUUUUUAGCCAAAGGCCAAGGGAAACUACCCUCUUCCUACUGGGGUUCAAAUUGAUUAAAAUGGUUUGCUUUGACUUUUGUUGAAGUCUCUUUAUUUUCUUUUUAAGAUUAUGUUAAAUUAUAAUCCACAUUGGCUUUCUUUUUACAGGUAAACUUUUUCUCUUCUAGAUUUCUAGACGGCCUUCCCCCACUUCGCUUCUCUCUCUGCCAUUUUCCUCCCCUCUCCCGCCUCCCCAAGUUAGAAGAGGCUGACAAAAAGAGGCUCAUCAAAGUUAAAUGUUGCCAACAUAAAUUGGUCCCUCUUCUCUUCCUUGAUGUGACUGGUCUCUCAACCUAUUGAUGGCAUCCAGUUCCAACUUUCCUCUUCUCAUUUGGGACAUUGGGAGGAGAGUAGUCUCUAUUUUUAAUAACAAAGUAG
rnacentral:lncRNA from 10 species